rnacentral:rRNA from 1 species
UACGAAGGGGGCUAGCGUUGUUCGGAAUUACUGGGCGUAAAGCGUGCGUAGGCGGUUCUCCAAGUCCGUUGUGAAAGCCCCGGGCUCAACCUGGGAAUGGCAGUGGAAACUAGGGGACUGGAAUCUGGCAGAGGGGGGUGGAAUGCCGCGUGUAGCAGUGAAAUGCGUAGAGAUGCGGCGGAACACCGAUGGCGAAGGCAGCCCCCUGGGCUGAGAUUGACGCUCAGGCACGAAAGCGUGGGGAGCAAACAGG